CGAUCGUGUGACGCCUUGGCGACAGUGAAAGCCUUCAGCAUUGCGCGCAAUUCUAGUUUUUAUUUAUUUCUCAUCAUUUUACUUUUACAGCUCCUUGAAAUGAAUUGGACUUUAAACUGGUUGCAGUGCACAUGGGCCACACUGUGGCAAUACAUACCGAUAUUCAAGCCUUGAUAGCUCUUGAAAAUGGAACACUGCAUAAUUUCAAAGGCGAGAUAUCUAACUUCAAUUGAUUUUGAAGAAAUUCCAUUGUCUCUGGGCAGUCAAAAGACAGAUUAUUGUGCUAAUGAAAAUGCAACAAAGGAAACAGUGUUAGAGGAAAUAGCAAAGCCUGUUAAGAAGAUACCAAGAAAACCCUGGUCCGAUGAUCAGAAUACAUUUCUUGAAAAUACAUUUAAUUCAUAUUAUUGAAAUUACAUGUUUGUUAUGAAAUGGACUACUGUCAAAAUUUUGUUUUGUAUUUUGAUUUUUAAAUGAAAUGAUUUAGAUCUGACAGUCUGGUUCUGAUUCUAACCUAUCUAAUUGGUUUCCUUGUGGGUGGUUGAGUAGUCUUUAGGUGUGCUCUUUAGAUCAUAAAGUCUGUAAUUCAGUCAAGUAGAGU